rnacentral:rRNA from 1 species
UCCCAGACUCCUACGGGAGGCAGCAGUGGGGAAUAUUGGUCAAUGGCCGAGAGGCUGAACCAGCCAAGUCGCGUGAGGGAAGACGGCCCUACGGGUUGUAAACCUCUUUUGUCGGGGAGCAAAGCGAGUCACGUGUGACUCAUUGAGAGUACCCGAAGAAAAAGCAUCGGCUAACUCCGUGCCAGCAGCCGCGGUAAUACGGAGGAUGCGAGCGUUAUCCGGAUUUAUUGGGUUUAAAGGGUGCGCAGGCGGAGGUGCAAGUCAGCGGUCAAAUUGCGGGGCUCAACCCCGUCGAGCCGUUUGAACUGGCGCGCUUGAGUUCAGGCGAGGUAGGCGGAAUUCGUGGUGUAGCGGUGAAAUGCAUAGAUAUCACGAAGAACUCCGAUUGCGAAGGCAGCUUACCAGUCUGCGACUGACGCUCAGGCACGAAAGUGUGGAUAUCGAACAGGAUUAGAUACCCCUGUA